CUCCCGCACUCGCGCCGCCCCCUUUCCUCUUCCUCCUGCCUCAUCUCUCUCUCCCCCUCGACCCGCCCCCGCCUCCCUGCCCCGCCGCCAUCCAGAUCGCUUCCGCUCGCCCUCGCCUCGCCGCGUCGUCUCCUCCUCCCUGCCCUCUCGGUGCUCCGAGCGCGGCUCGCUCGACCUAGCCCGCAUCUCCGGCGUUGUGCGCUGUGGUUCUGGUCCGGUCGCAGGUCGCAGCCAUGGGAAAGCACGGGCAGAAUGGAAGAGCAGAGGAGGUCGGCGGUGGGGGAAGGAGCAGCGAGGAGCUCAAUCUGGAUGCCGCCGCCGCCGGAUGAGGAGCCCAAAAAAUUCCCCAACCCCCCAGCGCCGCUGCCUCUCCUUCGACCAUGGGUUGCAGCGGCCAGAGAACCAGGGGCAGCUGGUUUCUAGGGGAGCUACGUACUUAUAUGCAGCGGCAACUACUAACAUCAUGUAGAUCCAAGAUGCAUCCAUUUUUUCCCCAAGCAGCUAACUUUUGUUAUGUACUCUGUAGCUAUGGUUGUAGAACACCCCCAUCCCUUUUCUUACUAUCAAAUUUCCUUGAUUCGAGCUAUUUGACUACAUGUUAUUAUAUGCCCCAGGGUUAAUUAGUACCUACAAUGCUACCUUCAGUUUGUGAAAAAGGUCCAAAGUGGUUUCUGCAAUUCUUAUUAUGCUUCAUAGAUUCAGUCAUGUAGUUCAACAGUUUCAGUGGAUUUGGGUGUUUCUUUAUAAUUGUUAUUCCCUCGUUAGUUUUUUGUUCUGUGGAGAGUAUAUUUCUUUUGUUGUGACUUGUUGUUAUAAAGACUGUCCUUUUUGGUCUCAUGAAUGUAUAUGCUAAUCCUUUGUGAUUGUUGUGUUAGUGCACACUUAUUUAUUCAUAUCAAAAUUGUGUGUGUGUUUGUGUGGUUAAUACUCACUUCAUUUUGAUAUAUUUGUCUUCUUAAUAACCCAUCGUGCACACAGAAAUGACUUCAUAACCUAUUAAAAGACCAUACUGGAACCACCUAUGACCUAACCUCUUCAAAACAUUUAAGUAGGGGUGGGCAAUAGAAGCGUUGUAAUAACUGCUCGCUUGCUGAAUGGACAAACAUUUUGACAAUGAUUCUUGCUUUCAUGGAUAUACAUAGAUAAAUGGAGGGAUGUUGCAUAUACAGUAGAAAUCAUGGGUGCAACAAUUUUUAUGGCCAUGUUUUUCUUUUUGUCUGAAUGUGUGUGUACAUUGGUUAUCGGGCACUAUUUGCGUAGGAUUUACUUGACAUGUAGGAACCGGCUCUACUAUCUAUCUUUUAAAUGUAAUAAAUCAUCUUGUGUAUGCGCCACCAUCGGCGCAGAUUUGUCUCAUGACUUGGAUUCUGGACAUGAAUCUUGUUAACCCGUUGAAGCAGAAAACUAUAGAUGCAGAGUCCAAUUAGUUGUCCUUUGUGCAUACACAAGAAAUAUGUCUGGACAUGAAUCCUUGAGACUAAUGGCCAGAAACAGAACACAACAUGAUGACCUCCUACUUGAGUGAGACUCUUCUUCGCAUGUGACUGCUCUCUUUUGGAAUACCAGCCAUGCAUGACAUGUUAAGCAGAACAGAGCGUGUCGUACGGCUGGUAGUUAUUGUUGUUGUUGCCGCGGCCUGCCUCUUGCUCUCUCUCUCUGCACCUCCCUCUCGCUCUCACUCUGCCACAACGAAGAAGAAGAAGGAGGAAGAAAGGAGACAGUGGACACAGGGAAGAUUUUCCGGCGCACGAACGCCACAGCCGCACGAACAGCUUUCACUUCCAUCAAGCAUGAAGUCGAGGCACACACACCACCUCACGGCGAGCACACAUACACUCCGAGAGGCUACAUCUCUCUUCUCUGGCACACCUACACACCAGCACCGUGGCCACUUUAAUACGCAGAGGCACGCACAGCCCAGCCGGCUAGAUCGACCACUAACCCAUGCACUAACUAAUCCCUAGCUACAUGCAUGCUGCUAACAACCUGGAAGUGGCCGGCUUUGUAGCCUGCGGAGACGCAGCUCCCACGCACCACACAUGCAGGAACUGCCGCACAGAGACUCGGCCAGCUCGGAGACUCCACUCGCCACGGCCACGGACGCGGCCACGCACCGGCGUCCGGACUCGACCAACACACGCACAUGCUGAUCACCAUCGUUGUGUGGCUUACUCUAACAAUUGUUGCCUAUAGAGAGUGUGAUGAUCCGAGGGUGUGAACUAUUUUUGGUGCGAAUUACUUGUUAUAUAAACUAUCUGGAUGGAGUUACAGGACAUUAAGAAAAGAUAUGAGAAAGAAUAUAGAGUGUGAAAUUUGCUAUAUGGAUUAAUGUCGGAAAAUCCAACGAUCCAACUUUUUAGAACUAUGCCACAAUUUUUAUGAGGCCAUAAUUUUUUUUUUGAAAUCUGCAGGUUAAUUAUAUGCUUUGUACAUGGCGAUGUUACUGAACAGAAGGAGGUAAUUUCUUCGCUCUUUCUAUUGAUUAAUAUUGUUGUUCACGCUUUCUAAACUAAUGAAUUUAUUAAUAUUAUUCUUGCACAAAUUAAUUAAUAAUUAUUUCAUCUUUUGGUCACUCGAGUAAGAUAGAACAUGACGAUGCUCUCUUAGUUUGGUUCCUCCUCCGCUGAAGGAUAUAGGAAUCACCAGCAGCCCUUCCGUAGUUCUGAGGAAGCGCUCAACCUGGAUGUUGUUGGCCGAAGGAGGGGCGGAGCAGGUGCCAGUCAGGUAGGCGGCUCAGCGGGUGGGAGAUGGAGGCUGCCGAUCUCACACAGCUCCUGCGCCCCGCUACCCUCUCCUCCCCGGCUAAGCAGGAGGUUCGAGGACAGCGACUAAGGAAGGAGCACAUCAGCGAUGAGGGCUAGCAGCAGCAAGACUAGAUAUUCCAUUGCCAUAUGAUUUGUGAUCAUUUUCUCGCUCAUUCCUAGAGGAAGUGCUAUGGAUAAUCUGAUUGAGCUGACUAAGAUACAUGCUUUUUUCUUUACCUGGCAUCUGCUUCUCUUAAAUUUUCUACAAUCCUUCCUUUACAUGCUGGUAUAUUUUGCUGCCAGGCUCAGAUCGGCGAGACCCGUGCCAAUGCAUGAGGCAAUAUUUUUCUUGUUUAUUCCUUCCAUACAUAUUGAGUUCAUUCACCCUAUUAUGUAUACUGAUUAAACAGUACAUGUUGGGCCAAUAAUUAGAUGCUACUGGUACUUGCGUUCAUUUCUCAUGUUUAUGUUCAGGCCUAACCUCACAAAACUUUGGUAUGCACUCACAUAUAAUCAGGGCUUGCUUAUUUUAAUUCUAAUAUUAUAUCAUUAUUAUUUGUAAUCAUUUUGUCGUUUAGGAUUUCCAAUUGUGUAAUAUUCCAUCAUACUCCUAUGCAUUGGCCAGGUACUGAACUUUGGCUGGUUGUCAAUAUAAGCUUUGUGUUCUCCUUUGUUUUUACUACUGGAAGCUGCUUGACAACUCACCGUACCCAAUCUAGCACAAUGUGUGCAGAUCUGAGGCAGAAAAGAAGAGGAAGAAUCUGAAGAUUUGGGUGAAUGGUGAUGAAGAACAGGGUGAAAUCUCACUCUCUCUCUCAGCCACUUUAUUCCUGCAUCUUGAUUUUGAUGUUAUGAUUUGUUCUACGCCUUUUCAGAUUAAACUUUGAACCAUCUAAAUGCCUUUGUUCAAUGAAUCUGAGUUUGCCACUCCUUAUACUACUAGGAUGACACCAAUUGCUAAUUAGUUGAUGAAUAUGUCAAUUGCUGCUGUACUACACAGGGAUUGAAGAAGAAACUGUUAUUAUUGUGAUUGUGCAUAGGUAAGGUUACUGGAACUAAACUUCAUGUUUCAUGGAGACAACAAGGACUCCACAAAGCUUCAGAUUCUUAUAUUUGUGAUUGCGAGAUUUUUUGUAGUUAUUUAAUUUUUCAAUCCAAAUGAAAGAUUUCAUUCAACCUACGGUGUAUUAUAUUACUAAUUGUUAAUACCUUUUUGGCGUCGGUAAAGAAACAGUGCAGUGACCUGGACUGAAAUAAUGAGCAACUUUAAUCAUGAUGCAUAUGGCCUCAUUUUAAUUGAAUUAUGAAGAAGUUUUGCUCUGUUUUGUGUAUUGUUAUCUGGGGUUUAGCUAUGUGGUAUACAAUUAAUGGGAAAUUGCUUUUUUUCCUUUAAUAUUGAAAGCUAGAGAACUGGAGGUAGAGUAAUAAAAGCUGCUUCUUUGGAGAGUUUUUUGUGCAGAGUGAUGCAUGCAUAAUAUUAUCCUCAUUAUGUUCUCUUUGCAUGUUCUAUUGUAGGAAGCAGAUGCUAUCAAGAUCAUGUCAAAGGCGAUGCUCAUUCCCGUUCUUAGUGAGAUGGAUUUACUCGAUGCAAGGUAUGAGCAUUGCAGACUCUGGCGAGCUGUUGAAGGUCGACGAGGAGGGCGCUGCCACCACCGUUAUCAGGCUGGUCCACAUCCACGCGCUGCUCGGCGUCACCAGGUCACCGGCACAACUCCUCACGCCCAGGUCGUUCAACAUUUUCUUCCGCUUUUGGUGCGUCACAUUUAGUCCUUCUUUCCCAUUUUACCGUGUUUGCAUGGUAAGAUGUUUGGUUGGAUUUGAAGGUUCGUAGCCUUGGCUCCAAAGCUUCAAGCUCUUAUAGAAAUUAGAAUUGAGGGCCUUUUAAAAUGAGCCAUGCAUAAUAGUGUUGUUCAGUCGGAUGCAUAAUUUUUGUUUGUCUGAUCAGCUAUCCUUGGUGCUGAUUUUACGUAUUGAUUUCAUCAUCAUAUGACUACAAUAAAGAAGCUGUGUGUAUAAAUAUUACUAACUGCUGAUACUUUGCAUCAGUGAUUUCAAUUCUGUUGGCCUCCUUAGGAUUGCUUGGGAAUGUGAGGCUUAAAAGUUUCAACCCUGUGAAAUGUGCUUCUCGGGUGUGGAGACUAAUUAACGGUUCUGUUAAUACUGAUAUGUCCUUGUACAUUAUACGAGUAUUGCAUCACUUGUACUUAUAGUGAGUGGAAAAUUUUCUCAUAUGUUUAAAUAUGUGCCUGAAUAAUAAUAUUAAUGUACACUCUUUCAAUACAUGGCUUACUCUUGGCCUUUGCGCCAUUGGCGCAACUGAUCAUCUAGUGAAAAGAAAACUGAAUCGUAUGGGUUCAGCCCGGCCCUCUUGGUCAGGCAGCGUAGCAAGCCCAGUAGCUGCAGCAGCUUACAAUAAUCAGCACUUUUUAGUCGACCGCCAAAAGAGGAUUGCGACUAGUAAAACGUCACCCCGAAAACUGUUUGACCAGGUAAAAACACGGAGACCAUCGGUUAUCACGGCCUCUAAUUUUUUACAGCGGAUUCUGUUUCAGCCUUGUCAAGCGAUCUGACAGACCAAGAAGGACAAGGAACGAGGGACCAACCUACAGCUUUGCGAGCUGCCCAGUUGUGAAGCGUGGAGACAAGAAAUCCUCCCUUUCCGCCACAGCUUUGGCUGCCAGCCUACCAGAGCUGUGACAGUAGAUAAACACGUACUUGCAC